rnacentral:hammerhead_ribozyme from 1 species
AUCUAGCAGACGAGUCCCAAAUAGAACUAAACGUGCGUCCUGGAU